UACGUAGGGAGCAAGCGUUAUCCGGAUUUACUGGGUGUAAAGGGCGCGCAGGCGGGCCGGCAAGUUGGAAGUGAAAUCUAUGGGCUUAACCCAUAAACUGCUUUCAAAACUGUUGGUCUUGAGUGAUGGAGAGGCAGGCGGAAUUCCGUGUGUAGCGGUGAAAUGCGUAGAUAUACGGAGGAACACCAGUGGCGAAGGCGGCCUGCUGGACAUUAACUGACGCUGAGGCGCGAAAGCGUGGGGAGCAAACAGG
rnacentral:rRNA from 1 species